CCCUAUUAUUUAAGAUUUUAUUAAUUAGUAUAUUAUGAAAAUUAAUAAUUUUGGCGGUUAUUUUAUUUUUAGAGGAGCUUGCUAGAAUUAAGAAUUUGCUCUUUAUAUUUAAAUUAUAAGAUAAGGUUUAUUCAUCUCCGUUAUUUAUAUAUUUAUUUAUAAAUUUAUAUUUCAGGUCAAGAUGUAACAAUUAUAGAAAUAAUAGUUAGCUACUAUUAUUAGAAUGAUGGAGUUAUAAAUAUAAGAAUUUAAUAAGGAAAUUGAAUUUGAUUGUAAUAAGAAUUAGAAUAUAUAUAUGAAUUUGUAAUUAAUGUA
rnacentral:rRNA from 1 species